rnacentral:piRNA from 1 species
UAUCUGGUUAAGAGACAAGAGUCAGAGCAGC